UUCGCCCUUAGAGUUUGAUCCUGGCUCAGGACGAACGCUGGCGGCGUGCCUAACACAUGCAAGUCGAACGAAGCUGCGUGAAUAGAGGCUUCGGCCAAUUGAAACGUAGACUUAGUGGCGGACGGGUGAGUAAUGCGUGAGCAACCUGCCCUUCAGAGGGGGACAACAGCUGGAAACGGCUGCUAAUACCGCAUGAUGUACUUGGGAGGCAUCUCUUGGGUACCAAAGAUUUAUCGCUGAAGGAUGGGCUCACGUCUGAUUAGCUAGUUGGUGAGGUAACGGCUCACCAAGGCUGCGAUCAGUAGCCGGACUGAGAGGUUGAACGGCCACAUUGGGACUGAGAUACGGCCCAGACUCCUACGGGAGGCAGCAGUGGGGAAUAUUGGGCAAUGGGCGCAAGCCUGACCCAGCAACGCCGCGUGAAGGAAGAAGGCUUUCGGGUUGUAAACUUCUUUUAUGAGGGACGAAGGACGUGACGGUACCUCAUGAAUAAGCCACGGCUAACUACGUGCCAGCAGCCGCGGUAAUACGUAGGUGGCGAGCGUUGUCCGGAUUUACUGGGUGUAAAGGGCGCGUAGGCGGGUAGGCAAGUCAGAUGUGAAAUCUCCGGGCUCAACCCGGAAACUGCAUUUGAAACUGUCUAUCUUGAGUAUCGGAGAGGCAAGCGGAAUUCCGUGUGUAGCGGUGAAAUGCGUAGAUAUACGGAGGAACACCAGUGGCGAAGGCGGCUUGCUGGACGACAACUGACACUGAGGCUCGAAAGCGUGGGGAGCAAACAGGAUUAGAUACCCUGGUAGUCCACGCCCUAAACGAUGAUUACUAAACGUGGGAGGUAUCGACUCCUUCCGUGUUGAAGCAAACGCGAUAAGUAAUCCGCCUGAGGAGUACGGCCGCAAGGUUAAAACUCAAAGGAAUUGACGGGGACCCGCACAAGCAGCGGAGCAUGUUGUUUAAUACGAUGAUACGCGAAGAACCUUACCAAGACUUGACAUGCUGGGGCAUAUCACAGAGAUGUGAGAAAGGGUAGCAAUAUUCCUCCAGCACAGAUGGUGCAUGGUUGUCGUCAGCUCGUGUCGUGAGAUGUUGGGUUAAGUCCCGCAACGAGCGCAACCCUUGCGAAUAGUUGCCACAAUUCAGUUUGGGCACUCUAUUUGGACUGCCGUAGGUAAUACGGAGGAAGGUGGGGAUGACGUCAAAUCAUCAUGCCUCUUACGUCUUGGGCUACAAGCGUGCUACAAUGGCUAUAACAAAGAGAAGCGAAUCAGCAAUGAAGAGCAAACCUGGAAAAGAUAGUCUCAGUUCAGACUGUGGGUUGAAACUCACCCACACGAAGAUGAAGUUGCUAGUAAUCCCGAAUCAGCAUGUCGGGGUGAAUGCGUUCCCGGGUCUUGCACUCAACGCCCGUCA
rnacentral:rRNA from 1 species